rnacentral:rRNA from 1 species
UGCCAGACUCCUACGGGAGGCAGCAGUGGGGAAUAUUGCACAAUGGGGGAAACCCUGAUGCAGCGACGCCGCGUGAGUGAAGAAGUAUUUCGGUAUGUAAAGCUCUAUCAGCAGGAAAGAAAAUGACGGUACCUGACUAAGAAGCCCCGGCUAACUACGUGCCAGCAGCCGCGGUAAUACGUAGGGGGCAAGCGUUAUCCGGAUUUACUGGGUGUAAAGGGAGCGUAGACGGCAGUGCAAGUCCGGAGUGAAAGCCCGGGGCUCAACCCUGGGACUGCUCUGGAAACUGUAAAGCUGGAGUGCGGGAGGGGCAGGCGGAAUUCCUGGUGUAGCGGUGAAAUGCGUAGAUAUCAGGAGGAACACCGGCGGCGAAGGCGGCCUGCUGGACCGUAACUGACGUUGAGGCUCGAAAGCGUGGGGAGCAAACAGGAUUAGAUACCCGAGUAA